GACGAACGCUGGCGGCGUGCUUAACACAUGCAAGUCGAACGGCAAGGCCCUGCUUGCAGGGUACUCGAGUGGCGAACGGGUGAGUAACACAUGGGUGCUCUGCCCUUCACUUCGGGAUAAGCCUGGGAAACUGGGUCUAAUCCCCGAUAGGAGCCAUUUUUAGUGUGAUGGUUGGAAAGUUUUUUCGGUGUAGGAUGAGCUCGCGGCCUAUCAGCUUGUUGGUGGGGUAAUGGCCUACCAAGGCGGCGACGGGUAGCCGGCCUGAGAGGGUGGACGGCCACAGUGGGACUGAGAGAAGGCACAGACGCGGAAGGGAGGAAGAAGGGGGGAAGAUUGCACAAGGGGUGCAAGGCUGAGGCAGCGAGGCCGCGUGGGGGAUGACGGCAUUCGGGUUGGAAAAUCCUUUUGCGAGGGAAGAAGCGGGUUGUGACGGUACCUAGAUAAGAAGCACCGGCUAACUACGUG
rnacentral:rRNA from 1 species